UAAGCCACCUGUUGUCCAGACCUUGUCGGCUGAAGAGCCUGUUGUGUUAAAGUUCACCGCAGAUAAGGCAUUGGUGGUUGAUAACCCUGAGAUACAAAUAUGCUAUCUAGUAGAGCUAUGCAAGUUUAGUAGUUUGUGUGCCUUUGAUAACAUGAUUUACAUUGCAGUAGGCCUAAACGUCUGAUCCGUAAAUGAGGUGGUGUCAAAGCUGGGCUGACUAUUUACUGCAUUGUUUGAGAUUUGUUAUAGGUGAAUGGGCCCCUGUGAAUGUUUUUGCCAACUGCUAAGGUCUGCUGAGGGUGUGGCCGUUUUCUCUGUUUUGGCUGUGUGAGUUCCCUCAGCUUGUUGGCCAUUAUUUCCCCUUCUUUUAAGUGUUGUGCCAGACAGACAGGGUGGAGGAUUUUGAGAACCCCUUUCCCCUUCACUGCAUGUGGUGGUGUGUAUGACAGCUGUGUGCGCAUGCUUAACUUAGUUUUAUUGUGUGGUGUUUGAUGUGUGUAUUCUGCUGUGUUUAGGUGGCUGCGCACUGGUGUGAGUAGCGGUGUCAAGGUGGCCCACAGCUCAAUUCAUAGCCACAUAAUAUUUCACUUUGAUGCAGCAAAAUGUUAGGUUAAAGAACAAGUUAGUUAAAAAAAAAAUUGCAGGAUGACCCUACAUUUUCUUUUCUUGUCAAUGCAGUGGUAAAAACUAUAUUCUUUUUGUCAGCCAUCCUGCUUAAAACAAGUAAUUGAUUCAUUAUGUUUUUCUGUUGAGGCCCAAGUUGGAAACCAUUAAUCUGCAUACAUUUAUGUGUUUACAAAUGUUGAACCUAUGCAACCAAUUCUACUGGAGCUUGAGAGAUACACACCACAACUGAUUGCCCUGUACAGGCAGAAGGCCAAGAGAGCAGACGCCCUGCAGAGAUCCUCCGGAUUUAUGACCUUCAAUCUAGGAACAAUAUGAGGUACACAUGGGAUGCCACCC